GCGUACUCCCUAGGCUGAGUUUGUCGGCCGGUGACGUCACAGCGCAGCGACAAGUGCUGUCCAAAUCCAGCGGCUGCUUCAAACGCGCCCAGCGAACUCUGCCUUCUUUUUCCCAAAUUGAAGGAUCGUUCUGAUGUAUCCUGCUAUGCUGACCGUAUCCCAAGAUGCAUUGCGGUCGGUCCCGAAGAAUUUUUCUGGCAACAAUGGCGGACGUUGAUGCGGGAAGCGGAGUCGGGGAAAAUUUCACUUUUAAAUGACAAUCCUGGAGAAAAUGGAUCUGCUGGAGAAGUACAGCAGUGGGUGAAAGAGAGGAGAGUGAAGAAAGAGAAGGAAAGGAGUGAGCCACCGGCUGGAAGAAGAAAAAUAAUAAGAAACAGUGAUGAACUUCUAGACCUAAGCAGAGGACAUGAGGCAGAAGAGCAGAGCGCACGAGAGAGGAGGGAGACUUUUGACCAACUUUAGUUUGCUGGAAAGAAUUGCUGUUAAAAUCCUGAGAUGUCUGAGAAUAAAUAAAUGAAGUUUAUAUUUGAUAUAUUAAAAAUGUUUGUUUUUGUUUUGUUAAUUUAAAUAAAGAUCUAAAUCAAACACAGUGAUUGUCAUGGAUUAAUUGUAACUUUUAUUUCCAACUAUUUACAAAGAUAGUCGACAUGGAUGGGGGGGGGCUUCGACUGAGACCCGGGCUGAAACUUUCUGGGUGGUGAUUGAACAUCUUGCAAGGUGGUCUGCAGAAAGUUUCAGGAUGCAUCUUCACUGUAGACUGCAUCGUCCAUCUUCAGGGUUUGCAGGGCUGGCUGUCGAUGGAUGCUGCAUGACCAAAAAUUAUCCAUAAAUAUGAGAUAAUGCAUGUACAGGCUUUGGAAAAAAA